rnacentral:rRNA from 1 species
AUAUUGGCGAGAGACCGAUAGCGAACAAGUACCGUGAGGGAAAGAUGAAAGGCACUUUGGAAAGAGAGUUAACAGUACGUGAAAUUGUUGGAAGGGAAACACAUGCAGCCAGACUUGCUAUUCGGGGCAACUCGAUUGGCAGGCCCGCAUCAUUUUUUCGGGGCGGAAAAGCAUAGAGAGAAGGUAGCAAUUUCGGUUGUGUUAUAGCUCUUUAUUGGAUUCGCCCUGGGGGACUGAGGAACGCAGCGUGCUUUUAGCAUAAGCUUCGGCUUAUCCACGCUUAGGAUGCGGGUGUAAUGGCUGUAUAUGACCCGUCUUGAAACACGGACC